rnacentral:rRNA from 1 species
GACGAACGCUGGCGGCGUGCCUAAUACAUGCAAGUAGAACGCUGAAGGAGGAGCUUACUUCUCUGGAUGAGUUGCGAACGGGUGAGUAACGCGUAGGUAACCUGCCUGGUAGCGGGGGAUAACUUUUGGAAACGAUAGCUAAUACCGCAUAAGAGUAGAUGUUACAUGACAUUUACUUAAAAGGUGCAAUUGCACCACUACCAGAUGGACCUGGGUUGUAUUAGCUAGUUGGUGGGGUAACGGCUUACCAAGGCGACGAUACAUAGCCGACCUGAGAGGGUGAUCGGCCACACUGGGACUGAGACACGGCCCAGACUCCUACGGGAGGCAGCAGUAGGGAAUCUUCGGCAAUGGACGGAAGUCUGACCGAGCAACGCCGCGUGAGUGAAGAAGGUUUUCGGAUCGUAAAGCUCUGUUGUAAGAGAAGAACGAGUGUGAGAGUGGAAAGUUCACACUGUGACGGUAUCUUACCAGAAAGGGACGGCUAACUACGUGCCAGCCGCCGCAGUAA